UUUUUUGAGACAUUGCUGAUAUCAGUUCCAGAAACGGUAGGAUUGGCAAUAUGUAAUAUUUAUAAGAAAAGGGAACAAUAAUCACUGGAGAGGUCAAGAAGACGACCAUUGCUCAAAAGAGUAUUUUUGGAGUAUAAGAUGUAUUAAUCUGUCCUAUUAUAUAAGUUGAGUAACCACAUUUUGUUAUAGCAAUGGACUAACAUUGAGCCAUAUAACAUGUGAAACUUGUGGCGCCGGCUCCUAUUCCCCACUCCUUCAUCAUGGACAACACAACAAGGUAUGUGCAUUUAUGCUGAGUCUAUGACUAAAGAAGACAAUCCUUGUGUGCUUUUCUCAUGUAAAAUUACACACUUCUGUAACUUUGUGUCAACAAAUUAGAAGUCCUUAAAAUCUCUGCAGUGAUCAUUUAUUGAACGAUUAUAACACAUUCCGUUUUAUCUGUAAGAGAGCAUAUAGGCUUAUUUACCUGCUU